rnacentral:rRNA from 1 species
AAUGGGUCAGCGACUUAUAUUCUGUAGCAAGGUUAACCGAAUAGGGGAGCCGAAGGGAAACCGAGUCUUAACUGGGCGUUAAGUUGCAGGGUAUAGACCCGAAACCCGGUGAUCUAGCCAUGGGCAGGUUGAAGGUUGGGUAACACUAACUGGAGGACCGAACCGACUAAUGUUGAAAAAUUAGCGGAUGACUUGUGGCUGGGGGUGAAAGGCCAAUCAAACCGGGAGAUAGCUGGUUCUCCCCGAAAGCUAUUUAGGUAGCGCCUCGUGAAUUCAUCUCCGGGGGUAGAGCACUGUUUCGGCAAGGGGGUCAUCCCGACUUACCAACCCGAUGCAAACUGCGAAUACCGGAGAAUGUUAUCACGGGAGACACACGGCGGGUGCUAACGUCCGUCGUGAAGAGGGAAACAACCCAGACCGCCAGCUAAGGUCCCAAAGUCAUGGUUAAGUGGGAAACGAUGUGGGAAGGCCCAGACAGCCAGGAUGUUGGCUUAGAAGCAGCCAUCAUUUAAAGAAAGCGUAAUAGCUCACUGGUCGAGUCGGCCUGCGCGGAAGAUGUAACGGGGCUAAACCAUGCACCGAAGCUGCGGCAGCGACACUAUGUGUUGUUGGGUAGGGGAGCGUUCUGUAAGCCUGUGAAGGUGUGCUGUGAGGCAUGCUGGAGGUAUCAGAAGUGCGAAUGCUGACAUAAGUAACGAUAAAGCGGGUGAAAAGCCCGCUCGCCGGAAGACCAAGGGUUCCUGUCCAACGUUAAUCGGGGCAGGGUGAGUCGACCCCUAAGGCGAGGCCGAAAGGCGUAGUCGAUGGGAAACAGGUUAAUAUUCCUGUACUUGGUGUUACUGCGAAGGGGGGACGGAGAAGGCUAUGUUGGCCGGGCGACGGUUGUCCCGGUUUAAGCGUGUAGGCUGGUUUUCCAGGCAAAUCCGGAAAAUCAAGGCUGAGGCGUGAUGACGAGGCACUACGGUGCUGAAGCAACAAAUGCCCUGCUUCCAGGAAAAGCCUCUAAGCAUCAGGUAACAUCAAAUCGUACCCCAAACCGACACAGGUGGUCAGGUAGAGAAUACCAAGGCGCUUGAGAGAACUCGGGUGAAGGAACUAGGCAAAAUGGUGCCGUAACUUCGGGAGAAGGCACGCUGAUAUGUAGGUGAAGUCCCUCGCGGAUGGAGCUGAAAUCAGUCGAAGAUACCAGCUGGCUGCAACUGUUUAUUAAAAACACAGCACUGUGCAAACACGAAAGUGGACGUAUACGGUGUGACGCCUGCCCGGUGC